GAUGAACGCUGGCGGCGUUCCUAAUACAUGCAAGUCGAGCGAACAGACGAGGAGCUUGCUCCUCUGACGUUAGCGGCGGACGGGUGAGUAACACGUGGAUAACCUACCUAUAAGACUGGGAUAACUUCGGGAAACCGGAGCUAAUACCGGAUAAUAUAUUGAACCGCAUGGUUCAAUAGUGAAAGACGGUUUUGCUGUCACUUAUAGAUGGAUCCGCGCCGCAUUAGCUAGUUGGUAAGGUAACGGCUUACCAAGGCGACGAUGCGUAGCCGACCUGAGAGGGUGAUCGGCCACACUGGAACUGAGACACGGUCCAGACUCCUACGGGAGGCAGCAGUAGGGAAUCUUCCGCAAUGGGCGAAAGCCUGACGGAGCAACGCCGCGUGAGUGAUGAAGGUCUUCGGAUCGUAAAACUCUGUUAUUAGGGAAGAACAAAUGUGUAAGUAACUAUGCACGUCUUGACGGUACCUAAUCAGAAAGCCACGGCUAACUACGUG
rnacentral:rRNA from 1 species